AGAGUUUGAUCCUGGCUCAGGAUGAACGCUAGCGGCAGGCUUAACACAUGCAAGUCGAACGGUAACAUAGUCAGCUUGCUGAUUGAUGACGAGUGGCGCACGGGUGCGUAACGCGUAUGCAACCUACCUUUAACUGGAAGAUAGCCCGAAGAAAUUCGGAUUAAUACUCCAUAAUAUAUGUCUUUCGCAUGUUAGACAUAUUAAAGCUUUGGCGGUUAAAGAUGGGCAUGCGUAACAUUAGCUAGUUGGUAAGGUAAUGGCUUACCAAGGCUACGAUGUUUAGGGGGCCUGAGAGGGUUAUCCCCCACACUGGAACUGAGACACGGUCCAGACUCCUACGGGAGGCAGCAGUGAGGAAUAUUGGUCAAUGGACGAAAGUCUGAACCAGCCAUGCCGCGUGCAGGAAGACGGCCCUACGGGUUGUAAACUGCUUUUAUACGGGAAUAAACCCUCGAACGUGUUCGAGGCUGAAGGUACCGUACGAAUAAGCACCGGCUAACUCCGUGCCAGCAGCCGCGGUAAUACGGAGGGUGCAAGCGUUAUCCGGAUUUAUUGGGUUUAAAGGGUGCGUAGGCGGAAUAUUAAGUCAGUGGUGAAAUCUCNCGGCUCAACCGANAAACUGCCAUUGAUACUGGAUNUUNCUUGAAAUUUANUUGAAGUANGCGGAAUGAAGGCAUGUANCGGNUGNAANUGCAUUAGAUAUGCCCUUCANAAC
rnacentral:rRNA from 1 species